UACGUAGGUGGCGAGCGUUGUCCGGAUUUACUGGGCGUAAAGCGCGCGCAGGCGGGCUGGUCAGUCCGGGGUGAAAUCUCACGGCUCAACCGUGAGCGGUCCCCGGAUACUGCCAGUCUUGAGGUGUCUAGAGGAGAGCGGAAUUCCCGGUGUAGUGGUGGAAUGCGUAGAUAUCGGGAAGAACACCAGUGGCGAAAGCGGAUCUCUGGACAGUCUCUGACACUGAGGCACGAAAGCUAGGGGAGCAAACGGG
rnacentral:rRNA from 1 species